rnacentral:lncRNA from 1 species
GCGAGGUCGAAGACGUGCCCAUGCAACAUACACCAUAGAAAGUAAGCAUCGUGAGUGUUGACGACGCCUGUGCUCUCUCGUCUCCAUGUCAGAGUGUGGGCCAAGAUGGCAUGUAGGUACCUUAAGGAUAGAGGGAGAGCCGAUGCCUUAGAGUGGCUAGGAUCGUAGGUGGCUGAGACAGGGACUAAAGCAUUCCAGCACCUUGAAGGAAAAUGAUGGAUGUGGCGAUUGAGAGUGUCAAGAUCGUUCUUCUCCAUGAACUCU